rnacentral:rRNA from 1 species
AGUGAACGCUGGCGGUAGGCCUAACACAUGUAAGUCGAACGGCAGCACAGUAAGAGCUUGCUCUUACGGGUGGCGAGUGGCGGACGGGUGAGGAAUACAUCGGAAUCUACUUUUUCGUGGGGGAUAACGUAGGGAAACUUACGCUAAUACCGCAUACGACCUACGGGUGAAAGCAGGGGAUCUUCGGACCUUGCGCGAUUGAAUGAGCCGAUGUCGGAUUAGCUAGUUGGCGGGGUAAAGGCCCACCAAGGCGACGAUCCGUAGCUGGUCUGAGAGGAUGAUCAGCCACACGGGAACUGAGACACGGUCCAGACUCCUACGGGAGGCAGCAGUGGGGAAUAUUGGACAAAGGGCGCAAGCCUGAUCCAGCCAUACCGCGUGGGUGAAGAAGGCCUUCGGGUUGUAAAGCCCUUUUGUUGGGAAAGAAAAGCAGCAGGUUAAUACCCCGCUGUUCUGACGGUACCAAAAGAAUAAGCACCGGCUAACUUCGUG